GGUCGGUUUGGGGCAGGAGUCGGUUUGGGGCAGGGGUCGGGUUGGGGCAGGGGUCGGGCUGGGGCAGGGGUCGGGCUGGGGCUGUGUGCGCACUGGGGCGGAGCGGCCGCAGCCCGGCCUGUCGCCGCGCCCCGGUGAGGCCGGGGUUGCCUCCCGUCCAGCCCAGCGAGCGCAGCGCACGGUGCUCGGGCUCUCGGGGCUCGUUUCAGCCCGCCUUAAGGGCACGGGAGCCUGAGGCUGCACAGGGAGCCGUGUUCCGUGUCUGGUACAGCGUCCGGCUGCCGGUUCUGCUCAGGAGGAGUUUCCUCGUAGCUCCGUCACUGGAAGCCUGCCGAGAGGGGAAGGAGGAAAGGAGCGAGCACAAGAAUGCGCGGUUCCUGGAGCACAGAGCGGUUCCUGGCUCCGGUUCCCGGCUCCGCUGUCGGAUUCCAGGCAGCCUUCCCUUACACUAUCUACCUUAUUUGUCUUAUGGCCGAAGCGAGACACACGGUGUCUUUCUGCUGCUCUGAUGAUCACGUAACUCUAUAAAUAACGCUUAAAAUAACGGGGAGAAAAGUACCGUCCUUGGGCUUUACGGAUUUGUACUUCACCGUUCGGGAGACCGAAAAACCCAGGACAAUUAAACUUCACUUUUGUCAUUCA